AGAUUGAACGCUGGCGGCAUGCCUUACACAUGCAAGUCGAACGGCAGCACGGGAGCAAUCCUGGUGGCGAGUGGCGAACGGGUGAGUAAUAUAUCGGAACGUGCCCAGUCGUGGGGGAUAACGCAGUGAAAGCUGUGCUAAUACCGCAUACGAUCUAUGGAUGAAAGCGGGGGACUCGCAAGAGCCUCGCGCGAUUGGAGCGGCCGAUAUCAGAUUAGCUAGUUGGUGGGGUAAAAGCCCACAAGGCGACGAUCUGUAGCUGGUCUGAGAGGACGACCAGCCCACACUGGGAACUGAGACACGGUCCAGACUCCUACGGGAGCAGCAGUGGGGAAUUUGGACAAUGGG
rnacentral:rRNA from 1 species